rnacentral:rRNA from 1 species
GACGAACGCUGGCGGCGUGCUUAACACAUGCAAGUCGAACGGUGAACCUCUUCGGAGGGGAUCAGUGGCGAACGGGUGAGUAACACGUGGGCAACCUGCCCCCGGCUCUGGGAUAACUCCAAGAAAUUGGGGCUAAUACCGGAUGUUCACCGCUUCCCGCAUGGGUGGUGGUGGAAAGGGUUUCCGGCUGGGGGUGGGCCCGCGGCCUAUCAGCUUGUUGGUGGGGUAGGGGCCUACCAAGGCGACGACGGGUAGCCGGCCUGAGAGGGUGACCGGCCACACUGGGACUGGGGAGCGGCCCAGACUCCUACGGGGGGCAGCAGUGGGGAAUAUUGCGCAAUGGGCGGAAGCCUGACGCAGCGACGCCGCGUGGGGGAUGACGGCCUUCGGGUUGUAAACCUCUUUCAGCAGGGACGAAGCGCAAGUGACGGUACCUGCAGAAGAAGCACCGGCCAACUACGUG